AGAAGAGCUUGCUGGCUCCCUACUAAAAUAUCACGGGAUCCCUAUUUUCAACAUGGACAGUGAGCUCGUCGGAAUCGCGUCGUGGUUCGUAGGUGGUAAAGGAAAGCGUCCUCCGUUUUCGGUGGCUUUUGCGGUGCCUCUCUUGUCAAUCAGGGCGGUGGUGGAAUACGCAAUUACCAAGAAACCCGAUGACCCGAUUGUCAUGGAUAAAUGGAUCGAAGACUCGUGAUACAAUUUAAUGGUGAAACUAUUUUCUUUUGAGGUGUAAAUGGGACAAGAUCUUUUGUGUAUGAUGGCUCAAUUCGAUCUUUUUUGGAAUCGACAGGGUAUCACAAUUACUUGAACGAUCUUUGUAUAUUUCGAGUAACUACUAACUAUCUCAAAUGCAUGUUGCAUGUGCAGUUCUUGAUGUUAUCCUAAUCUUAGAUUAGUAUUUUCAAUCGUCUCCGUUUAAUGGUUAUUUCGAAGUAAUCGGAGUACGUUGAGAUGAAUGUUUAUCUUCGUGGUGCAUAUGUUUGAUUAAGUUUUCGAUAAUUUUUAUUUAUUUUUCUGUAUGUACCAUUUUUCUCUUGAGGUCAAGUAUGAGGUACCAGUAAAAAGGAUGCAAUGAAGGCAUUUAUUUUGAUGUAAAGGUGACAGGUCGUUAU